UGACUACGACAUGCUACUGAUGAUAGAACAGGGCAUUCGUGGUGGGCUGGUGCAAGACACUAAGUACUAUACAAAGGCUAACAAUUCUAAGGUAGCAGAUUACGAUCCGAAAAACCAGACUCUUGGAUCGUGUACCAAGACUGUAAUAACCUGUACGUUUGGGCUAUGAGGUAGCCCAUACUGCACGGAAGCUUCCGGUGGUAUGAAUGAGCAGAAUCUCUGGCAGACCUCUAAUUACUGUCGGAGACUGGUAAUACGAGACAUAUAUAUGAAGUGGACGUAUCAUAUCCAGAAGAGCUGCAUGAUGAGUACAAUGACUUGCCGUUCUUGCCUGUAAACGAUCUAUCACUGGGUUCCAAAGAGUCCAAACUCAUGGUCACAUUGAAACCCAAACAACGGUACGUUGUACACUAUGUCAACUUGAAACAGGCAAUCGCACAUGGACUGCAAGUCGAUAAAGUAUAUACAUCGUACCUAAAGCUAUGAUAUUAAUAUGUUUGUCACACAGGUGCACCGCGUUUUAAAGUUUCAACAAUGUGCUUGGUUGAAACCGUAUAUUGAUUUGAACACAGAAAUGCGAAAACAGCCGGAAAAUGCUUUUGAAUU